AGUUGUUUUUAAUGUGAGCAGCUCCUAUUGGCUCGUUUAAAAAGAGGGAGGAGCAGAUUGCACCGCCUAGCGUCUAGUCUUCGCGGUCUUUCGUCAGUUGCGCCUUUUCUCUCCCUGGUGUUUGAGAACGUGGAGGACAAAAGGAUACCAAAGAAUCGAAAACUAUGACAAAGAUUCUUCAAGAUCACAAGCACCAUCUUUAACAUGUUGCCAUGGUAGCAGAUACAGGGGGAACAAGUGUAGACGAUGCCACAAGAAGGAUGAUGAAAUUCCUCAUAUGACCUGAGCUGGCUGUGGAGUACAACAUGCUUGGCCGACAUGGGAAAAAAAAAGUUCAGAGAUUUACGUCUUUUUAAUGUUGUGUAUGAGGCACUGAAGAAGAAUUAUUUAACAUCAAAAGUCAACUUGGAAGAAGCAGAGAAGGCUCUCUCCAAGUGGUUCACUGGAGCUAAAGACAGAGGAGGACCGAGGGCUGCAAGGGUACAAAAUAGACUUACGGCU